rnacentral:rRNA from 1 species
UGGGGUUUUGAAUGAUGUAGAGUUGGUUGU